ACAGCCCAGCGCAUAACCUCCCGGGCUACCAAGCCUGCGGCGGGAUGUUGCGUUAAGGGAAAGGUCGUUUGUAAGCCCUGCACUACAUAGCCUAAGUUUGGCUUGAAUUUCUCACUGUAUCCUAACGGAUGCAACGGCUCCACAGAGGGUGUCAGACCCGUGAGGCUAUGUGAUUAAAUGUGCGUGGGUUCGGCUUUAUUCCCUGAGAGUCGCGUUGCUUGAGCAUGCAGCGCUAAGCAGGUCGUAAACUCGACCUAAGGCUAAAUAUAUUCACAGAACCGAUAGCGAACAAGUACCGUGAGGGAAAGUUGAAAAGUACUCUGAAGAGAGAGUCAAAAGACCGUGAAACCGCUUAGAGUAUAAGCCAAUGGCUAUCUGGAAUGCUGGUGCUACCCGGUCCCCUUGUGGGGAAGGGUAUCGUUGGGCGAGAAUGAAGGCUGACAGGGCAAGAAAGUGGCAUUGAGUUGAUAUCACGGCAACCAGAUCUCGCGGGCCUCUGACAGUGGUAACAGGGGAUGUUCUAAUGAGGAACUGAACCGAGGCUGGGCUUUGGGCGAGCGUCAGUUUUUAAGCUCACAAACGAUUUGCAUUCUAAACAGCACACCACAAUACUUUAUAAGGUCUCCCUCGUGAGGGGGGUAGUCGUGGCGGUGCUCUCUGACUGUUGUGUCUCUUCGCAUGUUAGAAGUCGGCCGACUUUGCCCUGCCAUCCAGUUGCGAGUGGAAUGAUCCUAUGUGAAGAUUGAAUUCUGACCAUCCGAUACCUAAUACUCCAGCACUAGCGCUCGAAUUGUAGCGAGGGUCUCAGGCCUGAGACGAUUAUUAGUGCGGUUGUGGUAAAGGAUGUUUGGUGCAUUAUUCCAGAGCCAUCGGUCACGUCUCGAAACACGGGCCAAGGAGCAUAGCAUGUGCGCAAGUCUAAGGGAUAAGAAAUCCUGGAGGCAAAGUGAAAGCAAAUGGUGUGGUUACGAGUGUGUGUGCACACGCGCGUAUUCAGUCUGUGAUUAGCGUAAUUCCUAUAUGGAUGAAUGCGUAUCCUGCUUAAACCGGGUUGAUCCUAUGGUAAUCAAGCCACAUUGGCGAUAUCAGGGCGCAGACCCCAGGCUCUUUUGACGAGGGUAUUCCUUCAGAGAGAGCACUGCAGAGCGUGCAUGUUAUAACCCGAAAGAUAGUGAACUAUGCCUGGCGA
rnacentral:rRNA from 1 species